UACGGAGGGUGCGAGCGUUGUCCGGAAUCAUUGGGCGUAAAGGGCGCGUAGGUGGCCCGGUCAGUCUUUGGUGAAAGCGCGGGGCUCAACCCUGCGUCGGCCAGGGAUACUGCCGCGGCUGGAGCACUGUAGAGGCAGGCGGAAUUCCGGAUGUAGCGGUGGAAUGCGUAGAGAUCCGGAAGAACGCCAAGGGCGAAGGCACUCUGCUAGGCCUGAUUUCGCGACUGACACUCAGGGACGAGAGCCAGGGGAGCGAAUGGG
rnacentral:rRNA from 1 species